rnacentral:rRNA from 1 species
GACGAACCGUGCGAACGUUAUUCGGAAUCACUGGGCUUAAAGCGCGUGUAGGCGGCCCGGCACGUCCGUCGCUGAAAUCCCCCGGCUCAACCGGGGAAGGGGCGUGGAUACGGCCGGGCUGGAGGGGGGUAGGGGGAGCCGGAACUUCCGGUGGAGCGGUGAAAUGCGUUGAGAUCGGAAGGAACGCCCGUGGCGAAAGCGAGGUCCUGGACGCCUACUGACGCUGAGACGCGAAAGCCAGGGGAGCGAACGGG